CCCCGUCCCUCGUGCUCCACCUCCCGUCGGAACUGGGCCUCCUGGAGCACGGCGCACCGACUCCCCGGACCUGUGGAGAAGAACAAGGCUUUAUCAAAGGAUAGAAGUGGUUCACGUGGAAGUUCUGUGAUCUACUGAGAAUCAACAGUUACUAAUUGUCGAGCUUAGCAAGGGGAACGUCAACUCAUCAAAAGACAUACAAGGGAAGAAGGACGCAAAACCUAAUGAAAUGAACAACGCAACAGACCACGUCCAUCACCAGUCAACGAUCGACUGAGUCCAAACUGAGGGCGUCCAGGUGACGGAUACCGAAAAGGAAUAUAUAUAUAAAGGAGCGUGACCCUGCGAACCAGGUAGCCUCGUUAAUUCAAGUAUGUUCGGGAUCACGGGCGGGAGGCUUGAAGGCAUCAGAGCUGCUAAUCUGGGACCGGAUUCCACAGUUAUGACACAGGCUUAGCUAGGCGAGGCACGGCGGAUGUCACCAGUAAUCGAGACUCAUCUGCGCACUGCCCUCCAGCUGAAAAACACUCCAGCCAAAUCACCCACAUUACCUGUGCAACGCUGGAUUCAGCCGCUGCUGCAGGGCUGCCUCGCAACUGGCUGCCCCUCUCCACCUCCGGACUGAGCACACUACCUGAACCUCCCAACACCUGUACGGACGCCACCAGCGGAAGCAACAAUUACCGGAUGUCCAUGAGCCGAGACACACAAAAAUUGCCUCCAAGUAUUAAGGUCAAAGAGACUAAUGUCGUUCAUUACAGAAGAUAGAAGCAGAGACCGGUAGAGACAAGGUGAGCCUUGAUAUCAACACUCGACCCUACACAUAAACGCAUCGCAUUUACCUGAACACUCACGUUAUCACCAAACCUAUUGGUUACAUAUGCAUUUAUGGAAAAGGCCUUGUUUCUCUCAUGGAGUAGUGUUGUACAAAGGAUACACAAAUACGAUUUUGGGCGCAUAACCAUGUUUCAGUAUGA